rnacentral:rRNA from 1 species
CACGUAGUUAGCCGGGGCUUCUUGGUCAGGUACCGUCAUUUCUUUCUUCCCUGCUGACAGAGCUUUACAUACCGAAAUACUUCUUCACUCACGCGGCGUCGCUGGAUCAGGGUUCCCCCCAUUGUCCAAUAUCCCCCACUGCUGCCUCCCGUAGGAGUUUGGGCCGUGUCUCAGUCCCAAUGUGGCCGUCCACCCUCUCAGGCCGGCUACUGAUCGUCGCCUUGGUGGGCCGUUACCCCGCCAACAAGCUAAUCAGACGCGGGUCCAUCUUACACCACCGGAGUUUUUCACACAAAUCCAUGCGGCUUCGUGCGCUUAUGCGGUAUUAGCACCUAUUUCUAAGUGUUAUCCCCCAGUGUAAGGCAGGUUACCCACGCGUUACUCACCCGUCCGCCACUAAGAUUACACAUGAUUUGACCGAAAUCGCCUCUGCGUAUAAUCUCCGUUCGACUUGCAUGUGUUAAGCACGCCGCCAGCGUUCAUCCUGAGCCAGGAUCAAACUCU